rnacentral:tRNA from 1 species
GGAGAGAUGCCCGAGUUGGCUGAAGGGGCUCGCCUGCUAAGCGAGUGUAGGGGUAAAACUCUACCGAGGGUUCGAAUCCCUCUCUCUCCGCCA